AUUGAACGCUGGCGGCAGGCCUAACACAUGCAAGUCGAACGAGUGGCGGACGGGUGAGUAAUGUCUGGGAAACUGCCUGAUGGAGGGGGAUAACUACUGGAAACAGUAGCUAAUACCGCCGACCCACAGAUGUGCACAGAUGGGAUUGGCUAGUUGGUGGGGUAACGGCUCACCAAGGCGACUAUCCCUAGCUGGGCUGAGUGGAUGACCAGCCACACUGGAACGGAGCAACGGGCCAGACUCCGUCGGGAGGCAGCUGUGGGGAAUAUUGCACAAGGGGCGCAAGCCUGAUGCAGCCAGGCCGCGUGUAUGAAGAAGGCCUUCGGGUUGUAAAGUACUUUCAGCGGGGAGGCGUUACCCGCAGAAGAAGCACCGGCUAACUCCGUGCCAGCAGCCGCGGUAAUAC
rnacentral:rRNA from 1 species